rnacentral:sRNA from 1 species
UAUAAUGAAGAUCACGGGCCUAUGCCAA